rnacentral:misc_RNA from 1 species
GAUGAAGAACGUAGCGAAAUGCGAUAAGUAAUGUGAAUUGCAGAAUUCAGUGAAUCAUCGAAUCUUUGAACGCAUCUUGCGCUCCUUGGUAUUCCUUGGAGCAUGCCUGUUUGAGUAUCAUGAGCAAAUCUCAAAGUCAAUUCCUUUUGUUAAUUCAAUUGGUUUUGCUUUGGACUUGGAGGUCUUGCAGAUUUCAUAGUCUGCUCCUCUUAAAUGCAUUAGCUGGAUCUCAGUAAUUAUGCUUGGUUCCACUCGGCGUGAUAAGUAUCACUCGCUGAGGACACUGUUAAAAAGGUGGCCAGGAAAAUACUGAUUGAACCGCUUCUAACGGUCUAUUAAGUUAGACAAUUACCCUUAAGUUUGAUCUCAAAUCAGGUAGGACUACCCGCUGAACUUAAGCAUAUCAAUAAGCGGAGGA